rnacentral:rRNA from 1 species
CACGUAGGGCGCAAGCGUUUGUCCGGAAUCACUGGGCGUAAAGGGCGCGUAGGCGGCUUGAUAAGCGUGCGGUGAAAGCCCGGGCUCAACCCCGGGUCGGCCGUGCGAACUGUCGAGCUGGAGCACUGUAGAGGCAGGUGGAAUUCCGGGUGUAGCGGUGGAAUGCGUAGAGAUCCGGAAGAACACCGGUGGCGAAGGCGGCCGCUGGG